CUCUCUCUCUCUGGCCCUUUUUCCUUUUCAGUGUAGUUUCUGGUUCUCUGGGGAUUGUCCUCAACUGCGUUCUCUACUUUUCUUUCUUUCGUUUCAAGAUUCGUUUGAAAUGGAUAAAAAAACAGUGCAUGUUUUCAAGGUUUUGUUCGGAGUCUUAGGAAAUGGCACCGCUUUCUUCCUCUUCUUGUCACCCACAAUUACAUUUAAGAGGAUCAUGAGGAAGAAAUGCACAGAGCAGUUCUCAGGCAUUCCCUACGUGAUGACUAUGCU